rnacentral:rRNA from 1 species
ACGGCUCAGUAACACGUAGUCAAUCUACCCUAUGGACGGGAAUAACCUCGGGAAACUGAGAAUAAUGCCCGAUAGAACAUUAUGCCUGGAAUGGUCUAUGUUUCAAAUGAUUUAUCGCCAUAGGAUGGGACUGCGGCCUAUCAGUUUGUUGGUGAGGUAAUGGCCCACCAAGACUAUUACAGGUACGGGCUCUGAGAGGAGUAGCCCGGAGAUGGGUACUGAGACACGGACCCAGGCCCUAUGGGGCGCAGCAGGCGAGAAAACUUUGCAAUGUGCGAAAGCACGACAAGGUUAAUCCGAGUGGUUUCUGCUAAAGAAACCUUUUGUCAGUCCUAGAAACACUAACGAAUAAGGGGUGGGCAAGUUCUGGUGUCAGCCGCCGCGGUAAAACCAGCACCUCAAGUGGUCAGGAUGAUUAUUGGGCCUAAAGCAUCCGUAGCCCGUUUUGUAAGUUUUCGGUUAAAUCCAUGCGCUUAACGUAUGGGCUGCCGGGAAUACUGCAUAACUAGGAAGUGGGAGAGGUAGACGGUACUCGGUAGGAAGGGGUAAAAUCCUUUGAUCUAUUGAUGACCACCUGUGGCGAAGGCGGUCUACCAGAACACGUUCGACGGUGAGGGAUGAAAGCUGGGGGAGCAAACCGGAUUAGAUACCCGGGUAGUCCCAGCUGUAAACUAUGCAAACUCAGUGAUGCAUUGGCUUAUGGCCAAUGCAGUGCUGCAGGGAAGCCGUUAAGUUUGCCGCCUGGGAAGUACGUACGCAAGUAUGAAACUUAAAGGAAUUGGCGGGGGAGCAC